CGUGGAGCAGCCCGCUCGGCGGGCUCAUAACCUGAAGGCCGCAGGUUCAAAUCCUGCCCCCCAACCA
rnacentral:tRNA from 1 species